rnacentral:lncRNA from 1 species
UCAUUUUUCAACAAUAAAAAUAUUAAUUUAUUAUAAAUAAGAUUAACAUUAAACAUUAUUUAUUUGAUGUCAAAAAAAUAUGAAUAAUUAAAUUAUGUUAACGAAAAUUCAAUCGUAGUGUCAACUGAAAAAUUUAUGAAUAAAAAAAGACAGUGAAAAAGUUGAUGGGUAUGUCAAAUUCAGUCCAACGAGACUUGAUUAUUGUAAAAAGGAAAAGUGAGGUUAAACCCAGAGUUGACAGUCUACAUUUUUGUUGUUGAUAUGUCAUAUAUAUACCAAUUUUAACAAUGGGUCGUUCUGAAUCUGAGGUUUGGAAGGGUGCGUGAACCUGGCCUGCAUAAGUCCUAGAAAAAUAAUCUAGGAUACUCAUUAGAAGCGUCUUGAUUUGUACUAAUUUGUACCACCAUUGAUUUACUUUGUACCUCAAAAUUAAAGGGUCCAAGAAGGGUUAAAUAUUGACUUUUUUUCUAGAUGACUUAGAGGGGUAAAAAAAAUUGCUACAGACGCAGAAUAAUUUGUACUAAUUUGUAC